AACGAACGCUGGCGGCAUGCCUAACACAUGCAAGUCGAACGAGACCUUCGGGUCUAGUGGCGCACGGGUUCGUCACGCGUGGGAACCUGCCCUUAGGGUCGGAAUAACUCCCCGAAAGGGGUGCUAAUACCGGAUAAUGUCUUCGGACCAAAGAUUUAUCGCCUUUGGAUGGGCCCGCGUUGGAUUAGCUAUUUGGUAGGGUAAAAGCCUCCCAAGGCGACGAUCCAUAGCUGGUCUGUGAGGAUGAUCAGCCACACUGGGACUGGGACGCGGCCCAGACUCCUACGGGAGGCAGCAGUGGGGAAUAGUGGAAAAUGGGCGAAGGCCUGAUGCAGCAAGGCCGCGUGAGUGAUGAAGGCCUUAGGGUUGUAAAGCUCUUUUACCCGGGAUGAUAAUGACAGUACCGGGAGAAUAAGCUCCGGCUAACUCCGUG
rnacentral:rRNA from 1 species